rnacentral:ncRNA from 1 species
GAAAAUCAUAGAGGUUGCCGCAGACAUAAGUCGCUCGCGGAGUGCUGGCAGGUACUUUGAAACGGGUAAAAGGGGAUACGGCCGAAGCACUAACACUGUCAUGUUGGUUAGCUGGGUCAUUAGUUAAUAUCUAAUGGACUGUCGCGAAAGCGGAGUGCUAUGACAGGA